UACGUAGGGUGCAAGCGUUAAUCGGAAUUACUGGGCGUAAAGCGUGCGCAGGCGGGCUUUUAAGCCAGACGUGAAAUCCCCGGGCUUAACCUGGGAAUGGCGUUUGGGACUGGGAGUCUGGAGUGCGGCAGAGGAGACUGGAAUUCCUGGUGUAGCAGUGAAAUGCGUAGAUAUCUGGAGGAAUACCGGUGGCGAAGGCGGCAUCCUGGACCAUAACUGACGCUGAGGCGCGAAAGCUAGGGGAGCAAACGGGG
rnacentral:rRNA from 1 species